GAAAAGGUCGGCCUGAUUGCUUUUCAAAUACAUCGCCUGCCUCCGCUGACCCGCACCCUCCAAACUCACAAGGGCACGCACUCUACUUGCCUGAAUCCCCGAGGAGGGAGGAGGGAGAGGAGGAAGGCGGGGGAGCGAGGCAGAGGGGGGUGGGGGAGCGCAGCCGCGGCAGCUAGCGGUCCGUCUCGCACGCGCGGGCACCGCGCCGGUCCGGGGCUGCAGGUUUCCCAGAUGAUGGCAUCCGAGAACUUAAACAAAGGGGGCCGCCGCCGGAGCGCAGCGGCUGCGGAAAGUUGCGGUGGCGGAUUUCCAAGGAGCGUGGCCACGACCCGAGCUCUUGGCGCGGCGAGCAACCCCCUUCCCACCCUCGCCGAGACAGAGAUGGGGGCCUGCUGGUGAAGGAAAAAGGAAACUUUGAAACCACUGGGGACACAUCUGUCUAUAGGUAUUAGCGUGGAUGGUGCAUCCUUGCCGCGCGCUUUACAAAUCUCUGAGAUGGAGAGGUGGGGAGGGCGGCGACACCACGCAGUCCUAGGUAGAGUGGACCUCUAAGCGAACGCCCAGAACCACCGAGGGGACGCCGACGACUCAGCCGGACACUAAGAACAACUGCUGGGAAAAAAAUAAAACACCAACCCCAACCUUCAGCAACAAGGUAACAGAGCCAUUCGACCUCAUUUUUCUCCUGUUCCAUUUUUUUUCCUUGUUAUAUGUGUUUCCUCAUUUCUGCCCAAAAGGAAAGAUGUCGCCUCAGACUGUGACUGUUGCGAGGAGAAUGAAAAAGGACUCUUGUUUCAGAGGUAACCAAGAGCUCCGGCAAUAGCAACUUCAGAGAAAUGCACCGUCGCAAGAAGUUUUCCUAGGACACAACAAAACUUGAAGGGACCGGACGGGGACAGCAGGAGCCAGCAUCACCACGCCUUCAAGGACGGGAAAAGUUUUACGACUCCGAGGGACAACGCGUAAAAUGUGUUCCUGAGGACAAGGACAGCGGCCAGGGGAAGGAGCGGGCGGCUGCGGGCUGUCCCCAGUUUGGUUCCGGAAGCGAGGGACGGCUUCUUUCUUUGUUGUCUCCCGUGAGAUCGCCGCUUAGCAGGUGGAGCGAGCCCCGCGCCCGGGCCGGUCCGCGCCUGCCCGCCGGGACCUCAGGAGGAGCGGGACCCGACGCUCCGGCCCCGAGCCCCACUGGAGCGAGCCGAACGCGCCGGGGCUGGGGGGCGGCCACGACCCCCCCUGAAGGGGGUGGCCACGGAGCGCGCCCCGAGAAGCGAGCCCCCCUCCCCAGAGUGCUGCGGCUGCGGCCGCGGCUGCUGACCGAGGCCGGCCGGCGACCCCUGCGCCCUGCCGAGUGGCCUUGCAGCUG